GUGGAUUAGAUACCCUGGUAGUCCACGCCCUAAACGAUGUCUACUAGUUGUCGGGUCUUAAUUGACUUGGUAACGCAGCUAACGCGUGAAGUAGACCGCCUGGGGAGUACGGUCGCAAGAUUAAAACUCAAAGGAAUUGACGGGGACCCGCACAAGCGGUGGAUGAUGUGGAUUAAUUCGAUGCAACGCGAAAAACCUUACCUACCCUUGACAUGGAAGGAAUCCCUGAGAGAUUGGGGAGUGCUCGAAAGAGAACCUUUACACAGGUGCUGCACGGUCGUCGUCAACU
rnacentral:rRNA from 1 species